ensembl:lncRNA
AAGUCCUUCUUCACAAUGUUGUACCAGUCUCUUUCCAGGCUGAUUAUAUAUUACUCUCUCUUACUUAAUCUGCAGCUCACCCAAACUGGUCUUCCUUCAGUCUUUUCUAUGAAACAUCUUCACCCCUGUGCCUACACCUGGAAUACACUCACUCCUCUACUCUGCCAUUGGGCAUUUCUAGCCUCCUCCAAAGCUUUGCUCAGGAUGGAAGUGCCUCUCCAUUGCUUCAGAGUUCUACCUCAGCUUCCAGAACUGCCAAGAUUCUCUUCCCCCUCCUCCACUGCUCCUCUGGCUGAUCUGUCCAUCAGACCGGCUUCUCAUCCCAACAGCAGGGUCCCUCUUCCUUAUGUUAAAUUUAAUUGUGGUUGAAUGUUGGAGGCUAUCAUACCCUGACCAUUUGACAAGGUCAUGGUCUGAGGAAGGAAGGUCAGCAAAGCAGACCCCAGAAUGAGGGCCCCCUGUUAAUCCCACUUUGUAACUUAUUUCCCCAAAUUUUCCCCACUAGUGGACUUUUUAUGAUUAUUAUUCUCUCCCCAAUACAGGAGAAAUAACAUGAGAGCAAAUACUUAGAGGAUCAAUAAAUAUAUACCCUACUUUAAACCCCCUAUGUUA